UUUAAUCUACUAAAUUUUGAUUUUUUAUUGUUUUGUUAUUAUUUUUAUAGUGUGCUUCAAAUUCUAUAUGUACGACGCCGAAUUAGUUCUAUAUGUGUUUUUUGGUUGAAAAUAUACGUUGUUGGCUAUGAAAGUUACCUAUUUUAAAGAAAAAAAACUUUUUUGGUUGGGUAAUUAUUUCUUCUCCAAAAGCAGUUGUCCACUCAUUUUCAAGUUUCACAUCAAAGGUUUGAUGAACAAGUCAAUUAUAGUUCUCAUCUAAGGAGGGACGAAUACCAAUUAAAUAUUUGCAAUACUAGUUGAUCGCGAUGAGGUUCUAUUGUUCUUGUGAUUGGCUUUGGUUUUUGAAGGCCAGGUUUAAUGAUUUGAUGAAUUUACAAGUCUCCGACCAAAAGCGAAGAUGAGAUUAUCAUUAUGCCGAGACAGUUGGACAACUUUUCAAAUUUCGUAUAGUAAAUGUAAUGACUAAUAUUGGGCUGUAGAAUGCUACAUUGCUACUGAUGGGAUGUUAAUCUGAUUUUUAUAACUGCUUAUAUAUAUGAAGGCAUGCCAU